CGCACACUCUCGCCCUCGCACGUGCCGUUAGAGGCUGCCACAUCAUACUACUUGCAUCGCCUCUCGCCGCGCAUCAUUGUCAGCGGCGGCGACAAGAUCAUUGAAGCACACCAUACUGUGGAGCACGGUGCGUGCAAAGGACAGCGAAGGCAGCAGAUGCGCAAGGAGCCGCUGCGAGUUGGUUUUCUCGGCGCGUCUACCGUCGCGCACAAAGCAUGGUUGGCCAUCCACCGCGCGGGCCACCGCGUGACCUGCAUUGGAUGCCGAGAUGCUAGCAAAGGGCAGGAGCUCGCUGAGCGCCUGAAAAAGGACAUAGAGGUCUACAACAAAACGAAGAAGGCGGCAGAUGCCGGCGCGCAGCAGCCGUUUGCGGCGCCAAGCAUCGGCUCCUACAUGGAUGUUGUGCGAGCAGACAACGUGGAUGUCGUGUACAUCUCACUGCCUACGUCAAAGCGGCCGGCGUGGAUUCGAGUGUGUGCGGAGCACGGUAAGCACGUCGUAAGCGAGAAGCCAGCCGCCACCUCCGCCGCAGAGCUCGUCGAGUGUCUGCGUGACAUGGCCUCAAACCGCCUUCUCUUCAUGGACGGGACCGCGCUCUCCCACAGCCAGCGGCUGCAAGAUGUGUGCCGCGCAGUCGCCCAACUCGGUGGGCCGGUGCACAUCAAUGCGCACAUGUCCUUCCCGGCGUCGCCGACAUUCAUGGUGAGCGACAUCCGCCUUCAGCCACUGCUGGAGCCGUACGGCGCGCUCGGCGACUUGGGGUGGUACUGCAUCCGCUGGAUUCUGCAUAUUGUCGACUUUGUGUUGCCAACAGGUGUAGGGGGCCGUGUGACCGAGUGCGAUGGACUGUGGGAUAAGGAGGAAGCCAGCAACGGGGCUGCCACUGGCACGACUACCAGCGCGCGCCUAGCCGGCGCACCAGCGGUGACGGUAGUGGCGGCGUCAGAGCGGAGACAGCCAAAAAGACCGGUGCCCGCCGCCAUCACAGGAUUUGAAGGGGAUCUGGAGUUUACCAUCCCGGCACCUACAUCAAGCGAUGUCGCGCCGGCCGCAGCAGCGGAAGCAGCGGCGACAGUGACGGCCUCCUUUCGGUGCGGCUUUCACGACUGCCACGACCAAACGGUCGACAUCUUCUGCCGCGACGGCACCGUGACUGUGCUCGGGGCCAUCAACCCCACCGCAGAGGAUAGGCCGCGCUUUCUGACGCAGCGUCACAAAGUGGCGGCAGCGGCAGCAACUGCAGCGCCAGAACAAAGUAGCGCAGCGGACGCCACCGAGGCGUUUCAGGUUUAUGAGCGGUUGGAGGAGAUAAACGAUGUCGUGUACUCGACCACACCGGCGGAGACGGACGGUGCGCAGCAGAUGGAGCAGCUGUGGCGCGAUGUCGGCGACAGCUUGAUGCGCCUCGGCAAGGGCGAGCCGCUCAUUGCCGACCCCGAUCUUGCAAAAAAGUGGUCGACUUUCGCGUAUGUGACACAAGUGGUAAUGGACCGCGCGCUAGAGGCUGCCGGGCAGCACGCGCCGGCUGUCACCACCUCAUCUGCAGACACAUAAGAGCCGCAUGCGAAACAGUCCACAUCUUCCACACAGCGACGCCGCUGUCCUCAAGUUAUUUUUCUUUCAUACUCCGUGUGCCCAUUUCUCUGCCAUAGAGCACCAUCAGUUCAACGCCCCACUCGCCCUCCCCCCCACCACCACAUCGCGUGGUGCGAAGCAGCCCUGGACACAAGCGCCACAGCCACGCGCUGACCCGGUCAGUUGAGCACGACCCAUGCCUCCAACCCUACCCACCACCCGCCUAACAGCCGCUCCUUCCAUCAUGCCGGCCGCCACCCUGUGCACCUUUAGGGGUGGCGCUGGCACUCUGCACAUAACGUGGAUGGCACAAGCGUGUGCUCGCUGUCGCGGGUCUCUCCCACGCACCGCCAUCUGGGACCUCACCGCCGACAUCAGCAGCGAUGACUCCCACUGACCUCGCCGUGUCGUGGGCACGCGACCCUGUCACCACCAGGGGUGGCUCGGCAUUGGGAGGGGUGGCGGGGGCUCCACGGCCCCCACCCCCCACCGAGAGCAGGCGCGCCGCCACCAACACCCAACCCCUGCCUAGGCGGGCCGGGCGCAAGAGCCCGGUUUGGCGGUGGUAAGGGAGGCGGCCGCCUCCCCGUGGGGUGUGGAGGCGUGUGGCGCGCGCACUGGCCUGCCGGCGGCUGCCCGGGGCGAAGGGCGGGGGCCGCGAAGGCCCCCCCCCACGGAGGGGCCCACCGGGCAGCCAGCGGCGAACACGAAAGGAAAAGCCAGCAACGGCGCAGCACCGGACAACGGAAAACCCAGAAGACAGCCCCACGAAGCCAACAACUCGAAGCGAGGCGGCACCAGCAACACGGCGUCGGGCAAUCGUUUUCUCGAGACCCGAGAAGCCUAUUUUUGAUCGUAGCUCCGCUUUUGCUCAUCUUUAACGCGCAGAAAUGCUAGCCACCUCCUGAAUAGCUGAAGCCCGAGCAUAGCACACAGUUCACCGUUGUGCCGUCAGCACCUUUCAUCGCGACUUUCGCCUGCCGGUUCUCCGAAGUCGCCCACAUUAUUCACUGCAUCUUUUUUGUCUCCCCUUUUCUGCCCUCUGAAGGCACGGGACACCGCAGGGCGCGGCUUCAGCGUCCAGUUGUGAGUGUGUGGGGAAGCCGGGCAGCCCUCCCCUCCCCUAUUGUGCCGAUGCUGAGGAACUCCUGACGGCAGCAGGCUCAAGCACCUAUGGCAUAGCGAGGUCAGAGUGAUGUAUCGCUGCCGAUGCAGGCGGUCCGGUCCUGGAUGGCGUUGCGUGGGAGCGACCUGCAGCAGUGAACACGCUUGCGUCAUUCCUGUGAUAGGCAGAAGUUCAGCGUGACUCGAACGUAUUCCAACCCCUGUCGCUCACACGGCUUAUCAGUGUGGUGGGGAGGCUGAGUGCCACCCCUAAGGACGCAGGAGGUGGCGACUUGCAUGAUGGCAGCCACUGCGAGGUUAUCUGCAAGGUGGGUGGGCAGAGUUUGAGGCAUGGGCCGUGCUCUCACGUGACUGAGUCGGC
rnacentral:misc_RNA from 1 species